UACGUAGGGGGCAAGCGUUGUCCGGAUUUAUUGGGCGUAAAGAGCGUGUAGGCGGCCUGGUAGGUCAGCUGUGAAAACUCGAGGCUCAACCUCGAGACGCCGGUUGAAACCAUCGGGCUAGAGUCCGGAAGAGGAGAGUGGAAUUCCCGGUGUAGCGGUGAAAUGCGCAGAUAUCGGGAAGAACACCCGUGGCUAAGGCGGCUCUCUAGUACGGUACUGACGCUGAGACGCGAAAGCAUGGGGAGCGAACAGG
rnacentral:rRNA from 1 species